GGUCGCGUGGUGUAGCCUGGCCUAACACGUGUCCCUGUCAAGGACAAGAUCGCCGGUCCAAAUCCGGUCGCGACCG
rnacentral:tRNA from 1 species